rnacentral:rRNA from 1 species
AGACGAGAAGCUCUCGCGUGCCUAAUACAUGCAAGUCGAGCGAACUGAUGAAGAGCUUGCUUUUGAUCAGUUAGCGGCGGACGGGUGAGUAACACGUGGGUAACCUGCCUGUAAGACUAGGAUAACUCCGGGAAACCGGGGCUAAUACUGGAUAACUUUUCUCUCCGCAUGGAGAGAGAUUGAAAGAUGGCUUCGGCUAUCACUUACAGAUGGACCCGCGGCGCAUUAGCUAGUUGGUGAGGUAACGGCUCACCAAGGCAACGAUGCGUAGCCGACCUGAGAGGGUGAUCGGCCACAUUGGGACUGAGACACGGCCCAAACUCCUACGGGAGGCAGCAGUAGGGAAUCUUCCGCAAUGGACGAAAGUCUGACGGAGCAACGCCGCGUGAGUGAAGAAGGUCUUCGGAUCGUAAAACUCUGUUGUUAGGGAAGAACAAGUAUCGUUCGAAUAGGGCGGUACCUUGACGGUACCUAACCAGAAAGCCACGGCUAACUACGUGCCAGCAGCCGCGGUAAUACGUAGGUGGCAAGCGUUGUCCGGAAUUAUUGGGCGUAAAGCGCGCGCAGGCGGUCUUUUAAGUCUG